CCCUAUGGGGCGCAGCAGGCGCGAAACCUCUGCAAUAGGCGAAAGCUUGACAGGGUUACUCUGAGUGAUUUCCGCUAAGGAAAUCUUUUGGCACCUCUAAAAAUGGUGCAGAAUAAGGGGUGGGCAAGUCUGGUGUCAGCCGCCGCGGUAAUACCAGCACCCCGAGUGGUCGGGACGAUUAUUGGGCCUAAAGCAUCCGUAGCCGGUUCURCAAGUCUUCCGUUAAAUCCAMCUGCUYAACAGAUGGGCUGCGGARGAUACUAUAGRRCUAGGAGGCGGGAGAGGCAAGCGGUACUCUAUGGGUAGGGGUAAAAUCCUUUGAUCCAUUGAAGACCACCAGUGGCGAAGGCGGCUUGCCAGAACGCGCUCGACGGUGAGGGAUGAAAGCUGGGGGAGCAAACCGGAUUAGAUACCCGGGUAGUCCCAGCUGUAAACGAUGCAGACUCGGUGAUGMGUUGGCUUCAUGCCAUCUCAGUGCCGCAGGGAAGCCGUUAAGUUUGCCGCCUGGGAGUACGGUCGCAAGACUGAAACUUAA
rnacentral:rRNA from 1 species